rnacentral:lncRNA from 12 species
CCCCCCCCCCCCCCCCCCCCCCCCCCCCCCCCCCCCCCCCCCCCCCCCCCCCCCCCCCCCCCGGCCACGGCGGGCGGCUGCGGCGGCGCCUCGCUCCGGCACGGGUCCAGCUUGGAGAAAUUCAUGUCGAGGAUGUGGCGCUGCAGGUGCCGGACCCACUCCUCCUGGAUGGACAGCGGGCCCUGGAACUCCACCUCGCAGAACCUGCAGGGCAGCGGGCAGAGAACUGGAACAACGUGACGGGGCAGGAGGGGAAAUGGCCCUAAAAACGGGACGGGGGAGGAGAGAAAGUUCCCUAAAAAUGGGAUGGGGGAGGAGGGAGAAUAUCCCUGAAAACGGGAUGGGGGAGGAGAGAGAAUAUCCCUGAAAAUGGGAUGGGGGAGGAGGGAAAAUAGCCCUGAAAAUGGGACGGGGGAGGAGAGAGAAUAUCCCUGAAAAUGGGAUGGGGGAGGAGGGAAAAUAGCCCUGAAAAUGGGACGGGGGAGGAGAGAGAAUAUCAUAUCCCUGAAAAGGGGAUGGGGGAGGAGAGAGAAUAUCCCUGAAAAUGGGAUGGGGGAGAAGGGAAAGUUCCCUAAAAACGGGAUGGGGGAGGAGGGAAAAUAUCCCUGAAAAUGGGAUGGGGGAGGAGGGAAUGGGGGAAAGAGCCAAAAAGUUGGAUGGAGGAGCAGGAAAAGAGGGGAAAAAUUAGGAAAAGGGGGGGAAAUCCCUCAAAAAAUGCGAUGGGAGGGAAGGGAAAUAGGGAAAAACUCCCAAAAGUAGGAAUGGAAGAGCUGGAAACCCCCCCAAAAAUCAGGAAACCCUCCCCAAAAACUGGGAAAACCCGCCGAAAAUGGGGAAAAUGCCCCAAAAAUCAGGAGACCCUCCCCAAAAAUUGGGAAAACCCUCCAAAAAUUGGGAAAAACCCUCCCAAAAAUCAGGAAAGCCUCCCCAGAAAUGGAGAAAUCCCUCAAAAGACUUGGGAAAAGCAGGAAAACCCCUUAAAAUCGGGAAAAAUGCUGCAAAAACCAGGAAAAAAACCCCUAAAAACCAGGAAAAAAACCCCUAAAAACCAGGAAAAAAACCCCUAAAAACCAGGAAAAAAACCCCUAAAAACCAGGAAAAAAACCCCUAAAAACCAGGAAAAAAACCCCUAAAAACCAGGAAAAAAACCCCUAAAAACCAGGAAAAAACCCCUAAAAACCAGGAAAAAAACCAGGAAAAAAACCUCUAAAAACCAG